GAGAAUCUUCCAGAAGACCUAAGAAAUAAAAGGCAAGACAAAACAAGUACCAGAGAAUGCUCCAGUAGACCUCUAAGAAAAUCCUAUAAAAUACAAAAACAUCACAUGAAAAAGCAAAGUCUGUUCUGAAAGGUCUUCAUAUCCAACAUUUGCUAAAGGUAACACAAGCAUCCAGUGUCUUUACAGCAAAUGAACCAAGAGAAGAAGUUCAAGGAGUAGAAGUACAAGAUGACAAAUACGUGCAAGCAGAGGUGCCAAUUGAUCAGAUGCUGUACUUGCUUUGAGCCCAAGCAUAUAAGUCAGAAAUGGACUAGCAGAUACUUUAAAAACACAGAAACAAGAAAAUAAUCAGGAUCUGAUGGUAUUUUAUUUUUUUAUUUUUUAUA